rnacentral:rRNA from 1 species
UACGAAGGGGGCUAGCGUUGUUCGGAAUUACUGGGCGUAAAGGGCGCGUAGGCGGUACUUCAAGUCAGGCGUGAAAGCCCCGGGCUCAACCUGGGAACCGCGCUUGAGACUGGAGAACUAGAGUUCGGGAGAGGAUGGUGGAAUUCCCAGUGUAGAGGUGAAAUUCGUAGAUAUUGGGAAGAACACCGAUGGCGAAGGCAGCCAUCUGGACCGACACUGACGCUGAGGCGCGAAAGCUAGGGGAGCAAACAGG